CCCUCGCCCCUAGUUGCCAUCAUUCAGUUGGGAACUCUARGGGGACUGCCGGUGAUAAGCCGCGAGGAAGGUGGGGAUGACGUCAAGUCCUCAUGGCCCUUACAGGCUGGGCUACACACGUGCUACAAUGGCGGUGACAAUGGGCAGCGAAAGGGCGACCUCGAGCUAAUCCCAAAAAGCCGUCUCAGUUCAGAUUGCACUCUGCAACUCGAGUGCAUGAAGGUGGAAUCGCUAGUAAUCGYGGAUCAGCAUGCCACGGUGAAUACGUUCCCGGGCCUU
rnacentral:rRNA from 1 species